CGGGACUAACACCGAUAUGCUUCGGGGAGCUGUAAGUAAGCUUUGAUCCGAAGAUUUCCGAAUGGGGGAACCCGCUAUCCGUUAUUGGAUAGUACGUAUUACUGAAUACAUAGGUAAUACGAGGCAGACCCGGGGAACUGAAACAUCUCAUUACCCGGAGGAAGAGAAAGCAAAUGCGAUUUCCUGAGUAGCGGCGAGCGAAACGGAAUUAGCCCAAACCAGAAGGCUUGCCUUCUGGGGUUGUAGGACACUCCUUUGGAGUUACAAAGAAACCAUAUAGACGAAGCGGCUUGGAAUGGCCCGCCAUAGAAGGUAAGAGCCCUGUACUUGAAUGUGGUUGCCUCC
rnacentral:rRNA from 1 species